GGAUGUGAGGGUGAUGACCUUGCUGCUACCUAUGUCACUCAAUUGACCACCGGGUUAAUUCGGCUGAUCUGGGUGGCUAGGUGGGUGUCACCUUCCUCCCUCACUGACCCAUGGGCAUCCUUCCUGCAGCAAGAGGAGGAUUGUCCUUAGGUCAAGGGUAUACAAGCAGAUAUGCUUCCUUUUUGGAACCUCCAAACAAGCUCUCAAAAAAAAAAAAUCAACAGCUAUAGAGUUUCUUCCCAUUCAUACUCAGUGCCGUGGAUGGAGUCAUUGCGGAGUCAUU
rnacentral:snRNA from 1 species